AGGUUUGAUUAUGGCUCAGAUUGAACGCUGGCGGGAUGCUUUACACAUGCAAGUCGAACGGCAGCACAGGCUUCGGUCUGGUGGCGAUGGCGAACGGGUGAGUAAUGUAUCGGAACGUUCUGGCAGGGGAUAACUACGCGCUGAAAGCGUAACUAAUACCGCAUACGCCCUUCGGGGAAAGCGGGGACCUUCUGGGCCUCGCACCUGUCUGAAACGGCCGAUAUCGGAUUAGCUAGUUGGUGGGGUAACGGCUCACCAAGGCGACGAUCCGUAGCUGGUUUGAGAGGACGACCAGCCACACUGGGACUGAGACACGGCCCAUUUCCUACGGAGAACAGCAGUGGGGAAUUUUGGACAAUGGAAACCCUGAAUCCAGCCAUCCCGCGUGUGCGAUGAAGGCCUUCGGGUUGUAAAGCACUUUGGCAGGAAAGAAACGGCCUGGGAUAAUACCCGUGCAACGACACCUGCAGAAUGGCACCGGCCUAACUACGUGCCAGCAACCGCGGUAAUACGUAAGUGCAAGCGUUAAUCGGAAUUGCUGGGCGUAAAGCGUGUGCAGGCGGUUCGGAAAGAAAGAUGUGAAAUCCCGGAAACCUGCUGGAACUGCAUUUUUAACUGCCGAGCUAGAGUGUGUCGAGGAGGUGGAAUUCCGCGUGUAACAUGAUGAUGUACGUAGAUAUACAAGAGGAACACCGAUGGCGAAGGCAGCCUCCUGGGAUAACACUGACGCUCAUGCACGGCGUGGGGAGCUGUAGGAUUAGAUGCCCUGUUGAUGCACCGCCUAAAUGCCUGAUGUCAACUAACUGUUACAGGGCCUUCGCGGUUGGUAGCGCAGCUAACGCGUGAAGUUGACCGCCUGGAAACCACCAGUCGCAAGAUUAAAACUCAAAGGUCGGGGACCCGCACAAGCGGUGGAUGAUGUGGAUUAAUUCGAUGCAACGCGAAAAACCUUACCUACCCUUGACAUGUCUGGAAUCCCGAAGAGAUUUGGUGCUCGCAAGAGAACCGGAACACAGGUGCUGCAUAUGGCUGUCGUCAGCUCGUAUCGUGAGAUGUUGGGUUAAGUCCACGCUGGCGCAACUUCCUUGUCAUUAGUUGCCACGAAGGGCAUAAUGAGACUGCCGGUGACAAGCAUGGAGAGGUGUAAGGAUAUGACGUCAAGUCCUCUGGCCCAUAUGGUAGGGCUUCACACGUCAUACAAUGGUCGGGACAGGAGUCGCCAACCCGCGAGGUAAUCCAGAAACCCGAUCGUAGUCCGGAUCGCAGUGCAGCUCGACUGCGUGAAGUCGAAUCGCUAUUAAUCGCCAGAUCAGCAUGUCGCGGUGAAUACGUUCCCGGGUCUUGUACACCGCCCGUCACCCUGGCAAAGUAGGUUUUACAAAUGAUUAGCCUAACUGCUAAGGAGGGCGAUUACGGUAGGAUACUGACUGGGGUGAAGUCGUAACAAAGGUAA
rnacentral:rRNA from 1 species